AUAUAUAUAUAUAUAUGUGUGUGUGUGUGUGUGUGUGUGUGUGUGUGUGUGUGUGUAUAAACACACACAUACACACACACGCACGCACACAUA
rnacentral:miRNA from 11 species